rnacentral:lncRNA from 1 species
GCACAUAGUCUUAGGUUCGAGAACUCUGCAUUCAUUCCACACCUAGCAAAUUCUCCCUUUCAGAAACACGGCUUUUGGGCCUAAUUCGACGACAUGUCCACUCAAAUCUUUGUCAUGGGGAAUGGUUUGAAAUCUUCCCAUUUGGCGCAAAACCCUUUGAGGAACAUACAACUGAAUUCUCCGGAUGCCCAUAAGGAGAAGAUAACACACUCAGGCUGACAUGUAUAC